GCAACAAACGACGCCGUAUUUGGUAUUUUAGUUUCACAAGCUUCUCUUGCCUACUUCCUCUCUCUCUUUCUCUCUCUCAGACUCUCUCUCUAUAUACUAUUGUAGCCUCCGCCAUAACCAAAAGCUCGCACAACCUCUCUCCAAAACCCACGCUAAACAUGGAAGACUCCAAGAAUUUAGCGGAGGAACAAAAGAACCCCUUUGUAGUCUUCUUCACGAACUUGAUUUCCUCAAUCAAGUUGCCCUUCCCCCCGAAGAAAGAUGGAGCUAAGUCAGAGCCCGCCGCAGCUGAUUCUCAAGCAGCGGAGCCGUUGAAAUUGAGUCCACCGGCGGCGGAGGAUGAUGGCAGCAAGCCGGGUUUCGUGACGUUUCCGCGGCAGAACGUGGACCAGAUCAAAUUGGAAGGGGAGGCUGAUAUAGCUGGACAGACAACUAAUCCGUUGAUUUUAUGGCAGG
rnacentral:lncRNA from 1 species